GGCGAGUGAGGGUAUCAAACAUCGAUCUGUGAUUCCUCUAGACAGCGAUAGAUUGAAUGAGAUACAUUCAGUCUUAGGAUCAGUCUUGGGUUCUGGGGGGAGUAUGUCGCCAGGCUGAACUAAAGAAAUGGCGAGAGGGCCCCCCCAGGAGUGGAGCCUGCGGCUAAUUGACUCCACACGGGGAACUACCCAGUCCAGACAUAGUAAGGAUGACAAGAUGAUAGCUCUUUCUGAUUCUAUGGGUGGUGGUGCAUGGCCCUUUUUAGUUGGUGGAGUGAUUUGUCUGGUUAAUUCCGAUAACGAACGAGACCUUAACCUGCUAACUAGAUAUUUUCAUUUUAUGAAUAUAUCUUCUUAGAGGGACUAUAUGCUUUAAGUAUAUGGAAGUUUGAGGCAAUAACAGGUCUGUGAUGCCCUUAUAUGUCUAUGGCUGCACGCGUGCUACACUGAUGUGUGCUGGCUGGUGCCUAGCUAGAUAUAGUAUGGCAAUCUCGAAUAUAUAUCGUGAUGGGGAUAGAUCUUUGCAAUUAUAGAUACUUGAACGAGGAAUUCCUAGUAAGUGCAAGUCAUCAUCUUGCAUUGAUUAUGUCCCUGCCCUUUGUACACACCGCCCGUCGCUCCUACCGAUACCGGGUGAUCCGGUGAACCUUUUGGACCUAGCAAGAGGAAAAAUAAGUAAACCAUAUCACCUUUUGAAUUAUAAGUCUCCAAGUAUCUUUUCCUCUCUAU
rnacentral:rRNA from 1 species